CGGAAUAACUCAGGGAAACUUGAGCUAAUACCGGAUACGGCUGAGAGGCGAAAGAUUUAUCGCCGGGGGAUCGGCCCGCGUCCGAUUAGCUAGUUGGUGUGGUAACGGCGCACCAAGGCGACGAUCGGUAGCUGGUCUGAGAGGAUGAUCAGCCACAUUGGGACUGAGACACGGCCCAAACUCCUACGGGAGGCAGCAGUGGGGAAUAUUGGACAAUGGGCGAAAGCCUGAUCCAGCCAUGCCGCGUGAGUGAUGAAGGCCUUAGGGUUGUAAAGCUCUUUCGCCCACGACGAUAAUGACGGUAGUGGGAGAAGAAGCCCCGGCUAACUUCGUGCCAGCAGCCGCGGUAAUACGAAGGGGGCUAGCGUUGUUCGGAAUUACUGGGCGUAAAGCGCGUGUAGGCGGGUCCUUAAGUCAGGGGUGAAAUGCCAAGGCUCAACCUUGGAACUGCCUUUGAUACUGGGGAUCUUGAGUCCGGGAGAGGUGAGUGGAACUGCGAGUGUAGAGGUGAAAUUCGUAGAUAUUCGCAAGAACACCAGUGGCGAAGGCGGCUCACUGGCCCGGAACUGACGCUGAGACGCGAAAGCGUGGGGAGCAAACAGGAUUAGAUACCCUGGUAGUCCACGCUGUAAACGAUGGAUGCUAGCCGUUGGGGAGCUUGCUCUUCAGUGGCGCAGCUAACGCCUUAAGCAUCCCGCC
rnacentral:rRNA from 1 species